rnacentral:tRNA from 2 species
GCCCCCAUCGUCUAGAGGCCUAGGACACCACCCUUUCAAGGUGGAGAUCGCGGGUUCGAAUCCCGCUGGGGGCA